rnacentral:rRNA from 1 species
UGGGGAAUUUUGGACAAUGGGGGCAACCCUGAUCCAGCCAUGCCGCGUGCGGGAAGAAGGCCUUCGGGUUGUAAACCGCUUUUGUCAGGGAAGAAAUCUCUUGGGCUAAUACCCCAGAAGGAUGACGGUACCUGAAGAAUAAGCACCGGCUAACUACGUGCCAGCAGCCGCGGUAAUACGUAGGGUGCAAGCGUUAAUCGGAAUUACUGGGCGUAAAGCGUGCGCAGGCGGUUAUGCAAGACAGGUGUGAAAUCCCCGGGCUUAACCUGGGAACUGCACUUGUGACUGCAUAGCUGGAGUACGGCAGAGGGGGAUGGAAUUCCGCGUGUAGCAGUGAAAUGCGUAGAUAUGCGGAGGAAUACCGAUGGCGAAGGCAGCCCCCUGGGAUAACACUGACGCUCAUGCACGAAAGCGUGGGGAGCAAACAGGAUUAGAUACCCUUGUAGUCCCUGAGCGGGCUGGCAAGGCGCAU